CGCAAGAAAGCGCUCAAAGUGUCAGAGAGACGGCGGCGCGCGCGCAACUUUUUUUUCCCUUCUCUCUCUUUCUCCUUUUCUCUCUCUUUCUCUCUAUCACACACACUCGAACUCUCUCACACCGCCGCCGCAUCAUCAUCAUCAUCAUCAACCUCCUCAUCCUCUACCAGGGUUUAUUCUCACCAAAACGGACUUUUCGUUGCCUCGGGACGACGACUCGGGGUCCACACAGAGCGGUCAGAGAGCCAGAGCAUGCAAAAUUAAAGUAUGUGCUGUUCCUGAGGUUUUUCCAUGAAGAGACCUAUUCGUGGCAUCACUCAGGACUCUUAAAGCUGUAAUGAUGCAUGUCCUGAUGCAGACAGCUAUCAAGGCAUCCAUACCUCACUGGCACCAGCAAACAAACACAUCUGGGACCAAGAGAAGUGUGAGGAGGCUGUUGUCACUUGGAUUAAGGCCGAAUCCUGCAGUGCUCCAAGACAGAAAUACAGUUUUGUGUGUGUGUGUGUGUGUGUGUGUGUGUGUGUGUGUGUGUGUGUGUGUGUGUGUGUGUGUGUGUGUGAUGUCUAAUGUGACCUGACAUGGUGAGAAUGUACACCUCCGAAAUUAAUAUUUCAUUGAAUGCUUUUUGGAAAAGAAAGAAAAAGGUAUACUGUAUUUCCACGAGUUUUAAUGAUGACUGGCUCCUGGCUGCUCACAGGGCCUAUUGGAUGGUUUGUGCUGCGUCUUUAGGCAAACUCAGCCGAUGUUUCCUCUCCCUGACAUCAACUCUGAGGUCAAACUCGUACGGCUUCAGCACCACGUUCGCCUCGGUGAACAUUCAACGCUGUCGGUGAGUUUGAGCUAAACUGACAAAACCAUCGACCGUUGACUGUACCCCAUGGCCAAACCCUGACAACGCUACUCAAGAUGGGAUUAAUCAUCGAGACGCUGUCCUGGGACAUCGCCUUCAUCCUCUAAACAGUACUCGAGUCCUUGGGGCUUAAAAGAAGUAAAAGAAACAACUCCAAUCAAAGGUCACAAUCAACAUUCAUUGCUGUCGGUGGGUUGGACUGUGAGGGAAAGCUCACUGAACAAUGAAUGCAACUGUGUCCCAGUCGUCCUCAUCCCACAACCUGAGGAUGAUGAAAUCUUUUACUAACUCACACAUAGUAUUGCUUUUAUUUCCGAAUAAUGGAGAAUUUGACUGAAUCUCUAAUUAUACUUGGGGGGACAUUAAAAUAAAGGAUAUUUAUGACCCCUUUC